GAACGCACAUUGCGCCCCCCGGCAUUCCGGGGGGCAUGCCUGUCCGAGCGUCA
rnacentral:rRNA from 1 species